GAUGAACGCUGGCGGCGUGCCUAAUACAUGCAAGUCGAGCGAACAGACGAGGAGCUUGCUCCUCUGACGUUAGCGGCGGACGGGUGAGUAACACGUGGAUAACCUACCUAUAAGACUGGGAUAACUUCGGGAAACCGGAGCUAAUACCGGAUAAUAUAUUGAACCGCAUGGUUCAAUAGUGAAAGACGGUUUUGCUGUCACUUCUAGAUGGAUCCGCGCCGCAUUAGCUAGUUGGUAAGGUAACAGCUUACCAAGGCAACGAUGCGUAGCCGACCUGAGAGGGUGGUCGGCCACACUGGAACUGAGACACGGUCCAGACGCCUACGGGAGGCAGCAGUAGGGAAUCUUCCGCAAUGGGCGAAAGCUUGACGGAGCAACGCCGCGUGAGUGAUGAAGGUCUUCGGAUCGUAAAACUCUGUUAUUAGGGAAGAACAAAUGUGUAAGUAACUAUGCACGUCUUGACGGUACCUAAUCAGAAAGCCACGGCUAACUACGUG
rnacentral:rRNA from 1 species